CCUACGGGAGGCAGCAGUGGGGAAUAUUGCACAAUGGGCGGAAGCCUGAUGCAGCAACGCCGCGUGCGAGAUGACGGCCUUCGGGUUGUAAACCGCUUUCGCCUGUGACGAAGCAUGAGUGACGGUAAUGGGUAAAGAAGCACCGGCUAACUACGUGCCAGCAGCCGCGGUAAUAAU
rnacentral:rRNA from 1 species